rnacentral:rRNA from 1 species
CAGCGUCAUGGGUGGCCAAACUGUGAUCGUUGCCCACUUUGCAAUCAUGUGCGAGAGUCCGCGGCGCAUCUGCUGUUCAAGUGCCGCUUCUCCAUUCGGGUCUGGAAGGAGAUCCUUGCAUGGUUGCAACUUGAUGUAGAUUCCGCCCAUUGGUUGAACUAUGAUACAGUGAGGUUCUGGUGGGAUGGGGUCCUCGCCAACACUGCACAACCGAGAAAAGCCUUGGCCUCCGUACUCCACCUUGUAAGCUGGGAGAUUUGGAAAGAGCGAAAUGCACGCGUGUUCAGUAUCAAGGCGGCGCUUGUGGCGGUGAUAGUGCGAUCUAUUAAGGAGGAGGCGUCUAUCUGGGGUCUGGCGAGCGCCAAACAUUUGUGUAAUUUGAUGACGCGAGAGUAG